CGAUUCGAUUGUAAGAAACUAGUCGAUGGUACAGCGCAAUGGAGGCAUGAGCGAAACAACAAUUAUGUUGACAAUCCAGCUGGUUUUGGUGUUACAGCUCAUGAUCUUAUAUGCACAACAUGUUGGACCCAAGCCCAAGAUACAACACAAAUGCAUCUACUUCAAAUCUUAGCAGAAAAUGUGUGCUUUGCAGUAGAACACUAGAGCCUAGAACACGUUCACAUCAGCUCAUGUCCCUGAGAACUAACACUCAACAUCAUAUUAACAUCAGGAACAUAAUUGUGGAACGACUAACUCCAUUAGAGGUUACUGCAAAUGACUACAUCUGUGGGGCUUGUCACUCAUUAUUGCAAAGAGAUACCACACCUACUUCACAAGACUCUCCAGAUAUGCCAACCGGUGCCCCGGUAGGUCACCAACAAGUUUGUGUUGGAUGUGGUUGUUCAUUAUUGCGAACUUGAAGUCAUUGUUUGGAUACAGAGAAUAAUCAAGAUAUAUUAAACAUUGUUCGAAAUUGGAUUCAACCCAGAGAGAUUCGUCCUUCAGAUCUUCUUUGCCAUAGAUACUAUCAGAGAGCACGAAUUACUACAGUUGGUGCUUAUUUAAUGAAGCUGAGGACCGGUGAUUCAGAUGACAGAAUAGCUACAUUACUUGGCAUUUCAAGGAGUACUCUUACAAAAUAUGUAAUGAAAGCACGCAGUAUGAUGGAGGAACAUUUCGUACCAGCACAUUUAGGGUUACAACAUAUUAGUAGAGAGGAAGUAGCCCAAAGAAACCUUUAUGUUCCAGUCUCUUUUCGGGAAGCCAGGAAACGAUUUACCACAAAGAAAGGCUAUUGUCAUCAUGGAUGGUACAUACAUACAUUUAUGUGCAAAAAAGUAGCAAUUAUGCAUACCAAAAAAAAAAACUUAUUCCCUAUACAAAUAUCGGAAUCUCGUUAAACCAUUUAUGGUACUUUGUUGUGAUGGCGACAUCAUUGAUGUAUUGGGCCCAUAUUUAAUAGAAAAUGUAGAACAUGACCAUUAAUAAAUAAUAAGUACCUA